rnacentral:lncRNA from 1 species
GAGCAGUUCUGUCUCCUGCUCUAGCUUGAGCAGCUUCAGAUAAAGUUCUGGUAUCUGGUUUGAUGCUGCCUACCAGAAAACAUGUCAGUUUCGUCUUUUGUUGUAUCAUCUGCAUAUCCUUUGAGACUGGCAAUGUUUGCUACCAUGGGAAAAUCAAAUGGGAUGGGAGUGUGUGUAUGGUGAGCAGAGUUUAAGCCCCUCAGGGUACACAGGAGUAAAUAAAGAAAACGUUUGUUAAGGGGGAAGGAACGUCAAGCAGCCGUCAUCAGAGAUUUUCUAGCCACCUGGGAUGCCCACUUUAGUGUCCUAUGUACACACUUGGCUUAUAUCCUUCACAGUGGAAAUUUUCUUGGUGUCUACCAGGAUGUGGCCUUCACCUGUGACCCUGAGGCCCAGCUGAGAGCAGCUCAGCUCGGUGCAGCCUUCUGUAAUGGGGAGAGACACCGUCAAAGAAAGAAACAUCCCAGUCGCCCAGCUCCAGUGUCAGUUGACGCCAAGGCACCGGACAAUGUGAAUCUGAAAAUCCAUCCUCUUGCCCAGCAGCUCCAAAGGGUCGAUAACCACAUCCUCCUCGCCAUGCGUUCUACAAACAGAAGAGUCUAGAGAAGAACCCCAGGCCUGCAAGCUCAGAAACGGACUCGGACAGCUUUCCAACAAGGGACUGCUGUCCUAUCAGCCAGGCUCACAAAGUCUGAAACCUUUCAAAUUAAAUUCAUUAAUUUGCAACAAGAAAUACAACUUGCUGGGCAGCCCAGAAGCUCGAGGUAGCCAAGUGAUCAGAGUAAAGGCAGUGAGUUGUUGGGCAGCUUGGUUUCUUGGUCACAGAACGUUGAGGUUCUCUUCUUGAGCUGAUUCUUCAGAAAGAUGGAAAGGUUGCACUGAGUGCCUGUUGAGGGCCUUGGCACCCAGACCAGGCCACCGCCAGCCUCUUGGCUUAGGGUUGCUAAAAGACUUUUGCUUUUGUAAAAACUGCCUGUGACAGAUGAGUAUCCAGAGAGGACAGUUGAGGGUAACGAGGCAACGUUUAGGACAGAGCCAAUAGCUCAAAACAAAGCCUGUGCCCACAGAAAGGUCAGGUGACAGCACAGAAUGAGGUCAGGCUUCACCGUCCCUACCUCGAGAAAAGGGCUGAGCUGGAAAAUCAGCUUCUGCUUCUGGCUCUUGAAGCAGGUUGGGCCCUCAGCAUGGGAAAGCGUCCCACGCGGCACAUGCCAGGCCCACAGGGCCAGGAGGGGAGUGUGGCUGGGGAGGCCCUGCAACCCACUUGGCUUCUCUCCUGAGGGUCCAUUGUUUGGAACCCACCCAGCUCUUUCGGUUUUGUCCAAGGUUCCUUCCACUAUACCUGCCUCUGCCAGAUGUCCUCCUCAUUCCUCAGGUCCCCCAGGGGACAGCAAAAAUCACAUUCGUUGAGGCCAAAUGGUGAAUGAAUGAGCUCUUUCAUUUGUCUUAUGAAUGACCUGUUCAGGGUACCAAGUUGACCACCCCGUCAGGAGAACUCAGGCCUGCUCUGGAUUUUAUGUGUGUGACUGACCCAGAAGUAGGCAGGGGGGAGAAGGAGACACUCACUGUCCUGUUGGGGAGCAGGGUGCUAUGCAGGUAUGCAGCACCGCCUCCUCCAGCCUGUCACAGUUCAGAAACUCCACUUGCUCCUCCAGCUUCAUGCAGUAGGCCAGCGACUGGAGCCAGAUGUGAGCUGAGCCCAAACAGACGACCUCGACAGGAUCCCAGAAAGGGUCGUCUUCUCGAGCCACAGGGCCGUGAUCUCCAUCUAGAAAGCGCUGGUAAAGUUCCUGCAUUAGGAAUUUCCUAUUGAUGAACUUGGCUUUUGACCAUAUCCACACCUGGAAACACAGAGGAAAGCAGAGAGACAGAGUGUGAAAUCGCUGCUCUCAGAUCAGCACACGGGAGAGGCCAGCAGUCAGGAGGGGGCUCACCGAGUUUGUCUGCACUCGCUCCCUCCGCAGCCGCCCUCUCCAGCUGGAAGAAGUCGUAAUCGAACCUGCUCAGGUCCUCACUGCCCCACUCCGAAGGAAACCCCACGUACAGGUGAGGUCAGAGGAGUGAAGUGACUUGCCCAAGACCACACAGCGAGUCAGGAGCAGGCCUGUCCCUCCAGCAGUGGUGCCAUGUUGUCCCCAAGCCAUGGUGGCAGAGGAGCUGGUGUGAAUGCCCCAUCCUGCCACGUCUGUGAUGUGGGCACCUCACAUGACUGUCCCCUCCCAGCUUUUGGGGGGGACCUAGGACAUUCUGUGAGCCUGCAGGAAAGUUUACCAAAUGCUGCAGCUUUGUCCUGGUGGUGAUGGGCACCCCAUUAACGGCAACCUUGCAUUUGCUGUGUGGAGUGACCAUCACUUUACCGUCGGCAUUUGUGAAGGAAGCGUGUUUAUCUGAAAUUCUAAGAAGACGAGAGUCAGUCUAAGACACCCAGCAAACGGCGGUUUCCGUGAGCAGGUACGCUGACCUUUCUCAUGUGCACGGGAGGGAAGGUCUACAGCUGCGGAGGAUGGCAGGUGGCAUCUCGGGGCCUCCUGUGUGCUGUGGCCCAUGAUGCAUGGGGACAGCAGCGGGCGCAGAAGGACCCUGCCCUUGGGGAGCACGGGGAGCUGGGAGACAGCAGGUAAGGGCUUCAUAACAGAACGAACACCAGCUGAGGGCCUAGCGCUGCGGGGAGCCGGCCAAGGCCACACUGGAGUCCUCCCGCUCCCAGGCCAGCGGGAUGGGGUGGUGGGAAAAUGGCAGCAAGCAAGCUUCAGAAGAGACACUCAGGAGGCGACUCUUAACGAGCCUCACCUACUCCGGGUACGUUUUGAUCUGUUUCUGCGCCCUCGCCGUAUAAAUUCAGACCUUAUAGGAUUUGGGGCUGGACAUCAGGGGUGUCAGGUUGGUGUCCCCCCUCCCCGCCCUGCUCCCCUGCACCGGAUGUCAUCUGUGUGUCCUGAAUGACUGGCUCCCUGCCUUAGCAUGUUCCAUGUUCCUGCACUCCUUGGCCAUCAUGGAAUGUUCUGGAUGUGGAGACCCGUGUGCAUCCAAACCCUUUUUUGCAUGGGGCCCAGGGAUCCUGUGGGAAAGGUUGCGGCCUCAUCACUGGAGUUCAGACAUUUACGCACCUGUGUGUUGGACUAAGGACGUGUUCUGGAAAGGGACUUGAGGGGGAUCCCCAGGAAGAUGUCCCAAGAAGGAGGCUGGCAGUGCAGGACGAGGCGGGGCCAGCCAGCCCCUGGGUCAGCACCCCUCCAGCCACGACGGCCCGUGGGCUUUCGUACGGGGAUGGGGGUGAUCUGUCUGAAGGACGCAGGUGAUGGUGCUUCCCAGCUGGAGACACUCCAGCAGCAGCCUCCCAGGCAGGGCAGCCACAGAGCUGGGGACAGCUCUUGACUGGGUGAGGCCCGGCAUGGGGUUUCCCAGGGCUCCUGCAGGGGCCUCCUGAGGGAGCCCCAGGGGUCACUCCACAGUCUGGGCUUUCUGUAGUCUGGUGGGUCAGGGCUCCAAGCACUAGGAGAGAUCCAGGGAUGCGCUUAUGUUUGGGCCACCCCCGGUGGGCUUGUUCGUUCAGCCCCCUUCGUUUCCUGGCCUGCUCUACUUACAUCUGUUUGUGAAGAAUUAUUACACAGAAUCUAGAAACCAGCUUUCCCUUUUCUCCCAGGGUUGGAGCCCAGGAAGCAAACCAGCACUGCACCCUAGAUUUCAGCCAGAGGACGAAAGCCCUGCCCUCAGCUUUCUCAGACCAGCCCUGGAGUAGGUGGCCCGGGGAGACCUGGGCAGUGUCCCUGCUUGUCCUGCAGACUGUGUGGCUCUGCAGACCUCUAGAUGGAGGAGGCACAAUUCUCUAAUGCUAGACGAGGACACUGAUCAUGGAAACUCACCCCAAACCUUGAAUCGUGAUAGCAUUUGAGACAGCCCGACCAGCGUCACA